UGGGGAAUCUUCCGCAAUGGACGAAAGUCUGACGGAGCAACGCCGCGUGAGUGAAGACGGCCUUCGGGUUGUAAAGCUCUGUGAUCCGGGACGAAAGAGCCUGAGGUAAAUAGCCUAAGGAAGUGACGGUACCGGAAAAGCAAGCCACGGCUAACUACGUGCCAGCAGCCGCGGUAAUACGUAGGUGGCAAGCGUUGUCCGGAAUUAUUGGGCGUAAAGCGCGCGCAGGCGGCUUACUAAGUCCAUCUUAAAAGUGCGGGGCUUAACCCCGUGAUGGGAUGGAAACUGGAAAGCUGGAGUAUCGGAGAGGAAAGGGGAAUUCCGAGUGUAGCGGUGAAAUGCGUAGAGAUUAGGAAGAACACCGGUGGCGAAGGCGACUUUCUGGACGAAAACUGACGCUGAGGCGCGAAAGCGUGGGGAGCAAACAGG
rnacentral:rRNA from 1 species